rnacentral:piRNA from 1 species
UGCUAUUGCCAUGGAAACACCAAGGG